UUAAGUUCAGCGGGUAUUCCUACCUGAUCCGAGGUCAACCUUGGUUAAAGAUGGGUCUUUAACGGCAGGAGCGCGCCGCACCUCCCUAGCGAGAUAGAUUUCUACUACGCUCGGAGUUGUAGCGAGCCCGCCACUUCCUUUCAGGGCCUACGGCAGCCGUAGGGCCCCAACACCAAGCAGAGCUUGAGGGGUGAUAAUGA
rnacentral:misc_RNA from 1 species